CCCUUAGAUGUUCUGGGCCGCACGCGCGCUACACUGAUGCAUUCAACGAGCCUAGCCUUGACCGAGAGGUCCGGGUAAUCUUUGAAACUGCAUCGUGAUGGGGCUAGAUUAUUGCAAUUAUUAAUCUUCAACGAGGAAUGCCUAGUAAGCGUGAUUCAUCAAAUCGCGUUGAUUACGUCCCUGCCCUUUGUACACACCGCCCGUCGCUCCUACCGAUUGAGUGUGUUGGUGAGGAGUUCGGAUUGGCCUCGGAAGGUGGUUCGCCACCGUCCGUAGCUGAGAAGUUCUCCAAACCGCCCCACUUAGAGGAAGGAGAAGUCGUAACA
rnacentral:rRNA from 1 species